AGACCCGAAACCCGGUGAUCUAGCCAUGGGCAGGUUGAAGGUUGGGUAACACUAACUGGAGGACCGAACCGACUAAUGUUGAAAAAUUAGCGGAUGACCUGUGGCUGGGGGUGAAAGGCCAAUCAAACCGGGAGAUAGCUGGUUCUCCCCGAAAGCUAUUUAGGUAGCGCCUCGUGAAUUCAUCUCCGGGGGUAGAGCACUGUUUCGGCUAGGGGGCCAUCCCGGCUUACCAACCCGAUGCAAACUGCGAAUACCGGAGAAUGUUAUCACGGGAGACACACGGCGGGUGCUAACGUCCGUCGUGAAGAGGGAAACAACCCAGACCGCCAGCUAAGGUCCCAAAGUCAUGGUUAAGUGGGAAACGAUGUGGGAAGGCCCAGACAGCCAGGAUGUUGGCUUAGAAGCAGCCAUCAUUUAAAGAAAGCGUAAUAGCUCACUGGUCGAGUCGGCCUGCGCGGAAGAUGUAACGGGGCUAAACCAUGCACCGAAGCUGCGGCAGCGAACGUAUCACCCAAGACAACUUUACGGAGUUGACGAUUGACGGAGCGAAGCGACGUCAAAGCGUUCAUUAAAGUCGAGUUGGCUUAGGGAUACGUUCGUUGGGUAGGGGAGCGUUCUGUAAGCCUGUGAAGGUGUGUCGUGAGGCAUGCUGGAGGUAUCAGAAGUGCGAAUGCUGACAUAAGUAACGAUAAAGCGGGUGAAAAGCCCGCUCGCCGGAAGACCAAGGGUUCCUGUCCAACGUUAAUCGGGGCAGGGUGAGUCGACCCCUAAGGCGAGGCCGAAAGGCGUAGUCGAUGGGAAACGGGUUAAUAUUCCCGUACUUGGUGUUACUGCGAAGGGGGGACGGAGAAGGCUAUGUUGGCCGGGCGACGGUUGUCCCGGUUUAAGCGUGUAGGUGUGUGUUCCAGGUAAAUCCGGUUCACUUUAACACUGAGGCGUGACGACGAGGCACUACGGUGCUGAAGCAACAAAUGCCCUGCUUCCAGGAAAAGCCUCUAAGCAUCAGGUAACACGAAAUCGUACCC
rnacentral:rRNA from 4 species